GCUGCAAGAAGUUGAAGUUAGGUAUGAGAACAAAUGGAGCAAAGGAAGAGUGCGAGCAAUUCUUGACAAAGGAAUCAGUGUUUUGAUGGACAAAUCAAAGAAAGAAUAAUUUUUUGGAAAAGAACAAAUACGGUUCUUGCAUAGAGAGAAUGAAGGUGAACCAAAUCCAGAAGUUUUAACUGCUGAGUUCUUUACUCCAAGCGAAACCCAAACGGAGGAGUUAAACCAAACAGAGGAGUUAACCGAAAAACUUAAUUUAACAAAUGAGGAAAUGACCCAAACUGAGGAGAUGACCCAGAAGCUCAAUUCAGCUAUUGAUGGUGAUGAAGAGAACCUUCCUCAGGAAGGUGGUGAGGAAGAAGAUGACAAUCAAAGUGAUGAAGGUGAGAAUCUAAAUGAUGGUCUUGAUAAAGAAAAAGAAGACAAACAGAAUCCACAA